rfam:Eimeria praecox, Houghton, WGS project CBTT01000000 data, contig: Eph_contig4482_1
UGAUGCAGCGAUUACUCUAAUACGCAUCAAUCUUUCGCCUUUUACUAAAGAUUGCCGUGGAGUAGUCGCGUUUAAAUGCAUCUUAAGUAAAUUUUUGAAGCGCUUCGGCGCU